rnacentral:piRNA from 1 species
UAACAAGGUUAGAAUUUGGACCGCGAUGGU